UGGGGAAUAUUGCACAAUGGAGGGAACUCUGAUGCAGCGACGCCGCGUGAGUGAUGAAGGACUUCGUUUCGUAAAACUCUGUUCUAUGGGAAGAAAAGGACUGUACCAUAGGAGAAAGCUCCGGCUAAAUACGUGCCAGCAGCCGCGGUAAUACGUAUGGAGCGAGCGUUGUCCGGAAUUAUUGGGCGUAAAGGGUGCGCAGGCGGCUUUACAAGUUGGAUGUGAAAUAUUGUGGCUCAACCACAAACGUGCAUCCAAAACUGCAAAGCUUGAGUUAAGGAGAGGUAAGUGGAAUUCCGGGUGUAGCGGUAGAAUGAGUAGAUAUCAGGAGGAAUACCGGUGGCGAAGGCGACUUACUGGACUUAAACUGACGCUCAGGCACGAAAGCGUGGGGAGCAAACAGG
rnacentral:rRNA from 1 species